CGUGUGGUAAACCAACCGCGACGCCCCAGCACCCGCCACGCUGUGGAGUUGAACGGCCGUGGGACGCCAGAGACCCCCAGGGGCGAGGGCGCAAAACCCUGGGCAGAGCCGGAGCAGACCGCACCGAAGCAGACCACGAGGGACUCGGGCUCGGAGUCGGCGAGCAGCGCAGCCCACCCUCACCACAGCCGGACGCUGGCCGCCUCCAUGGCCGCGCUCAGCAUCUCGGCACCGGAGC